GCAUAAGAAAUGGGAGGGAAAAAUAAAUAUCAUAAAAAGAAACAGACAAAAACGUCCUGCACUACAGGAUAUUGCCUCCCUGUGGGCAAAUCGAGCUGACAGAAAACCCCAAGUACAGUCCUUUUUCUAGAUAUGAAAGGCCAUUGAAUAAACCAUUAUGCGAUACGUAGAAGCAGCUACCAUGAUUUGCUGGAAGCCACAGCUGCCACCAUUGCUAGGAAGCUACUGAAUGUGGACACCCUGGAUUCAAAAGAGAAGGACCGGCUCUCCUGCAUGGCCAAGAAGAUCCAGAGGGCAUGGUGGAGAAUAGAUAUGUGGUACCAAGGCUCGUACCGAGGCAACAGAUACUACUUUUUCCUGAAAACGACAAAACUGAUGAGGCAGGGAAACGUGACUGCUCUUCACAGAAUCCUCCCAGAUAAUGCUAUUUUUAUUAAAACAUUCUCAAUA